GAUGAACGCUGGCGGCGUGCCUAAUACAUGCAAGUCGAGCGAACAGACGAGGAGCUUGCUCCUCUGACGUUAGCGGCGGACGGGUGAGUAACACGUGGAUAACCUACCUAUAAGACUGGGAUAACUUCGGGAAACCGGAGCUAAUACCGGAUAAUAUAUUGAACCGCAUGGUUCAAUAGUGAAAGACGGUUUUGCUGUCACUUAUAGAUGGAUCCGCGCCGCAUUAGCUAGUUGGUAAGGUAACGGCUUACCAAGGCGACGAUGCGUAGCCGACCUGAGAGGUGGAUGGGCAAAAAGGGAACUAAACACCGCACAAAACUCAUACGGGAGGCAGCAGAAGGGAAUCUGCCGAAAGGGGCGAAAGCCUGAAGGAGAAAGGCAGCGAGAGAGAGAAAGUUUUUCGGAUCGAAAAACUCUGUUAUAAGGAAAGAAAAAAUGUGAAAGUAAUAAUGCACGUCUAGACGGGACCUAAGCAGAAAGACACGGCAAACUACGUG
rnacentral:rRNA from 1 species